rnacentral:rRNA from 1 species
GAUGAACGCUGGCGGCGUGCCUAAUACAUGCAAGUCGAGCGAACGGACGAGAAGCUUGCUUCUCUGAUGUUAGCGGCGGACGGGUGAGUAACGCGUGGAUAACCUACCUAUAAGACUGGGAUAACUUCGGGAAACCGGAGCUAAUACCGGAUAAUAUUUUGAACCGCAUGGUUCAAAAGUGAAAGACGGUCUUGCUGUCACUUAUAGAUGGAUCCGCGCUGCAUUAGCUAGUUGGUAAGGUAACGGCUUACCAAGGCAACGAUGCAUAGCCGACCUGAGAGGGUGAUCGGCCACACUGGAACUGAGACACGGUCCAGACUCCUACGGGAGGCAGCAGUAGGGAAUCUUCCGCAAUGGGCGAAAGCCUGACGGAGCAACGCCGCGUGAGUGAUGAAGGUCUUCGGAUCGUAAAACUCUGUUAUUAGGGAAGAACAUAUGUGUAAGUAACUGUGCACAUCUCGACGGUACCUAAUCAGAAAGCCACGGCUAACUACGUG